AAUGAACGUUGGCGGCAUGGAUUAGGCAUGCAAGUCGAGCGAGAAGUGUAGCAAUACACGGAAAGCGGCGGAAGGGAGAGUAAUACGUGGGAAUCUGCCCUUAGACCUGGGAUAGCAGCGGGAAACUGCUGGUAAUACCAGAUAAUGUCUAUGGACCAAAGGUGUGAUUCCGUCUAGGGAUGAGCCCACGUCCUAUUAGCUAGUUGGUAGGGUAAUGGCCUACCAAGGCGAUGAUGGGUAGCGGGUGUGAGAGCAUGACCCGCCUCACUGGGACUGAGACACGGCCCAGACACCUACGGCUGGCUGCAGGCGAGAACCGUCGGCAAUGGGCGCAAGCCUGACCGAGCGAUGCCGCGUGCGGGAUGAAGGCCUUCGGGUUGUAAACCGCUGUCGAGGGGGAGCAACUUCCAUAGAGUUAUCUUUAUGGAUUGAGUGAUCCCUGGAGGAAGGACGGGCUAAGUUCGUGCCAGCCGCCGCAGUAAAAC
rnacentral:rRNA from 1 species